UACAGAGGUCUCAAGCGUUGUUCGGAUUCAUUGGGCGUAAAGGGUGCGUAGGUGGCGAGGUAAGUCGGAUGUGAAAGCUCGGAGCUCAACUCCGAAAUGGCAUUGGAAACUACCUUGCUCGAGGGUUGGAGGGGGGACUGGAAUUCUCGGUGUAGCAGUGAAAUGCGUAGAUAUCGAGAGGAACACCAGUGGCGAAGGCGAGUCCCUGGACAACUCCUGACACUGAGGCACGAAAGCUAGGGGAGCAAACAGG
rnacentral:rRNA from 1 species